UCCCCGUUCUCCUGGGCAGUCUCUCCAGAGUUCUCGGCUUGACCCGUUAGUAACUGAAGACAGGGGUUGCGCUCGUUGCGGGAGGUUCUGGCUUUCGCCAAAAUUUCCUCUGCAUGUCAAACCCAGGUAAGGUUCUUCGCGUUGCCUCGAAUUAAACCACACGCUCCGCUGCUUGUGCGGGCCCCCGCCUAUUCCUUUGAGUUUUAACCUUGCGGCCGUAAUCCCCAGGCGGCGGACUUAAUGCGUUAGCUGCGGCGCCGAGGGGGUCGAUACCCCCGACACCUAGUCCGCAUCGUUUACGGCGUGGACUAC
rnacentral:misc_RNA from 1 species